UACGAAGGGGGGCUAGCGUUGCUCGGAAUCACUGGGCGUAAAGCGCACGUAGGCGGCUUUCUAAGUCAGGGGUGAAAUCCUGGAGCUCAACUCCAGAACUGCCUUUGAUACUGGGAAGCUCGAGUCCGGAAGAGGUGAGUGGAACUCCGAGUGUAGAGGUGAAAUUCGUAGAUAUUCGGAAGAACACCAGUGGCGAAGGCGGCUACACUGGUCCGGUACUGACGCUGAGGUGCGAAAGCGUGGG
rnacentral:rRNA from 1 species